ACAGUAUUUUGCCUAUGACCGGAGGAGAUUCAUGGAUCCCCAGAACCCAUCCGCAGACUCCUAUGCGGGGAGCCACAGACCCAAGAUUAGGAAACCAUGGAUUUUAGAUAUUUUUAAAACUGGAGAGAACAAGUGAUGCAUAACAAUCUGUAAGACACUGUGUGGCUUCUCUUGUGGACCAUUUCACUCGAGCUUGAACAAUUCAAAGGAUGGAAAGCUAUCUCAGGAAAUCCUAGUUCUGUUGUUGGGCAACCUCUUCGACUGGAAUGUCUUCCUUCUAUUUGUUGGAACAAGCUAUAGACAGUUACCCAAAAUGGUUUUCUCUUGUCAAAAUAAGAAGGUAAAAAGGUGAGUGAAGAACACAGAGUAAAAUCUCUCAAUCUAUCCUGUCUCCACCAAACAUUCCUCACCCACUCACUUUCAGUUAUGUGGGCUUCCUGAAAAAACACAAAGUUCCCUCUUUCAGUUU